rnacentral:rRNA from 1 species
UACGUAGGGACCAAGCGUUGUUCGGAUUUAUUGGGCGUAAAGGGCGCGUAGGCGGCGGGGUAAGUCGGGUGUGAAAUCUCAGGGCUCAACCCUGAAACUGCACUUGAUACUGCUCUGCUUGAGGACUGGAGAGGAGACUGGAAUUCACGGUGUAGCAGUGAAAUGCGUAGAUAUCGUGAGGAAGACCAGUGGCGAAGGCGGGUCUCUGGACAGUUCCUGACGCUGAGGCGCGAAGGCCAGGGGAGCAAACGGG